UAAUACUGGAUAGGCAAUUAUUCCUGUAAUGGUUUUUUGUUUAAAUGUUUUUUCGCCUAAGGAUGGGUCUGCGGCCGAUUAGGUAGUUGGUUAGGUAAUGGCUUACCAAGCCUUUGAUCGGUACGGGUUGUGAGAGCAAGAGCCCGGAGAUGGAACCUGAGACAAGGUUCCAGGCCCUACGGGGUGCAGCAGGCGCGAAACCUCCGCAAUGUGAGAAAUCGCGACGGGGGGAUCCCAAGUGCCAUUCUUAACGGGAUGGCUUUUCUUUAGUGUAAAAAGCUUUUGGAAUAAGAGCUGGGCAAGACCGGUGCCAGCCGCCGCGGUAACACCGGCAGCUCUAGCGGUAGCAAUUUUUAUUGGGCCUAAAGCGUCCGUAGCCGGUUUAAUAAGUCUCUGGUGAAAUCCUGUAGCUUAACUGUGGGAAUUGCUGGAGAUACUAUUAGACUUGAGACCGGGAGAGGUUAGAGGUACUCCCAGGGUAGAGGUGAAAUUCUGUAAUCCUGGGAGGACCGCCUGUUGCGAAGGCGUCUAACUGGAACGGUUCUGACGGUGAGGGACGAAAGUUAGGGGCGCGAACCGGAUUAGAUACCCGGGUAGUCCUAACUGUAAACGAUGCGGACUUGGUGUUG
rnacentral:rRNA from 1 species